UGAGUCCGAGGAGCUACGGCUCUUAAGUGAUACGAGUCAGACUUCCCAGAAAAGCCCGAACCACGUUAAUCUCUAAUUACCUGUACCCGAAACCGACACAGGUGGGUAGGUAGAGUAUACUAAGGGGCGCGAGAUAACUCUCUCUAAGGAACUCGGCAAAAUGACUCCGUAACUUCGGGAGAAGGAGUGCCUUAUUUAUAAGGUUGCAAUAACAAGAUCCAAGCAACUGUUUAUCAAAAACACAGGUCUCCGCUAAGUCGUAAGACGAUGUAUGGGGGCUGACGCCUGCCCAGUGCCAGAAGGUUAAAGAAGUUGGUUAGUGUAUGCGAAGCUGAUGACUGAAGCCCUGGUGAACGGCGGCCGUAACUAUAACGGUCCUAAGGUAGCGAAAUUCCUUGUCGGGUAAGUUCCGACCCGCACGAAAGGCGUAAUGAUUUGGAUACUGUCUCGGAGAGAGGCUCGGUGAAAUAGACUUGUCUGUGAAGAUGCGGACUACCUGCACCAGGACAGAAAGACCCUAUGAAGCUUUACUGUAACUUGAAAUUGGAAUUGGACUUUGCUUGCGCAGUAUAGGUGGGAAGCGUUGAAGAUAUUCUUGCGGGAGUAUUGGAGCUAUCAGUGAGAUACCACUCUUGUAAUGUUAGAUUUCUAACUUUGAACCAUAAUCUGGUCAAAGAACAGUUUCAGGUGGGCAGUUUGACUGGGGCGGUCGCCUCCCAAAUGGUAACGGAGGCGUACAAAGGUUUCCUCUGAACGGAUAGAAAUCGUAUCUAGAGUGUAAAGGCAUAAGGAAGCUUGACUGUGAGACCUACAAGUCGAGCAGGGACGAAAGUCGGUCUUAGUGAUCUGACGGUACUGAGUGGAAAGGCCGUCACUCAACGGAUAAAAGUUACUCUAGGAUAACAGGCUGAUCUCCCCCAAGAGUUCACAUCGACGGGGUGGUUUGGCACCUCGAUGUCGGCUCAUCGCAUCCUGGGGCGGUAGUACGUCCCAAGGGUUGGGCUGUUCGCCCAUGAAAGCGGUACGCGAGCUGGGUUCAGAACGUCGUGAGACAGUUCGGUCCAUAUCCGGUGUAGGCGUUAGAAUAUUGAGAGGAGCCUUCUUUAGUACGAGAGGACCGAGAAGGACACACCGCUGGUGUACCAGUUAUCGUGCCAACGGUAAACGCUGGGUAGCUAUGUGUGGAGUGGAUAACCGCUGAAAGCAUCUAAGUGGGAAGCCCACCUCAAGAUGAGUAUUCUCAC
rnacentral:rRNA from 1 species